AGUCGAACGGUAGCACAGAAGAGCUUGCUCUUCGGGUGACGAGUGGCGGACGGGUGAGUAAUGUCUGGGGAUCUGCCCGAUAGAGGGGGAUAACCACUGGAAACGGUGGCUAAUACCGCAUAACGUCGCAAGACCAAAGAGGGGGACCUUCGGGCCUCUCACUAUCGGAUGAACCCAGAUGGGAUUAGCUAGUAGGUGGGGUAACGGCUCACCUAGGCGACGAUCCCUAGCUGGUCUGAGAGGAUGACCAGCCACACUGGAACUGAGACACGGUCCAGACUCCUACGGGAGGCAGCAGUGGGGAAUAUUGCACAAUGGGCGCAAGCCUGAUGCAGCCAUGCCGCGUGUAUGAAGAAGGCCUUCGGGUUGUAAAGUACUUUCAGCGGGGAGGAAGGGAGCGAGGUUAAUAACCUCGUUCAUUGACGUUACCCGCAGAAGAAGCACCGGCUAACUCCGUGCCAGCAGCCGCGGUAAUACGGAGGGUGCAAGCGUUAAUCGGAAUUACUGGGCGUAAAGCGCACGCAGGCGGUCUGCUAAGUCAGAUGUGAAAUCCCCGGGCUUAACCUGGGAACUGCAUUUGAAACUGGCAGGCUAGAGUCUUGUAGAGGGGGGUAGAAUUCCAGGUGUAGCGGUGAAAUGCGUAGAGAUCUGGAGGAAUA
rnacentral:rRNA from 1 species